CGGGGCGUGGCGCAGCCUGGCAAGCGCACCUGCCUUGGGAGCAGGGGGUCGGCCGUUCAAGUCGGCUCGCCCCGACCA
rnacentral:tRNA from 3 species